UCUAUUUUUCUGUUGUAUGCAGUGUUUGUGGGCUAUGGCAACCAAUCCCCUUGGGCUUUCUUUUGCUUUAAUUUGCAUAAACACCGGCACCAUAUGAAUAUUCAGUGAGUGGCUUUGCAUUAAGUUUGCCCUUAAUCAGCUUCUCAGUUCAGUUUUAUUGGUUGCACGCACAGUCAGUUAUUUCAUCCAGAAAAUGUGGUGCCCGACAAAGCUAAACAGGCACAGACUGAUGGUGACACUAGUUUAGAAGGUAGAAAAAGGACUCCUUCUUGAAGCAAACAUGACUGAGGUCUGAUCUGGUAAACUGGAGAGCUUGGAUGAGACCAGCUAUCCUCCAGGAGGUCUGCAGCAGGUUUGGUGAAGUGCCACUGCUUAGCAUUGAGUCUGCUGCCAGAAAGCCCCAGCCCCAUAUCCGAACAGGCAGCACAUUGAUGGGGAGGCACAACAGGAGAAGAAUGAAGCUGAAGGCAUGUGCUGGUUGGGUCCAUCAGCAAACAAACAGAGCUGCUGGAGUAUCCAUGACGAUGUCACCGGUGAAUUGCAGUUGACUGGAGGCAUACUUCACCGCAUGCUGGAACACUCAGAGCCUGAUUUCCAGAAAGAGCAUCUUGUUGGUGGAUACAAUUUUAUAAUGGUUGUGCACACCAGCUUUUCACUGCGGCUAAUGGACAGAUGUAGAAAUGAUGACACUGCUUACCUCAUGAAUUUGAACCUGUGACUUUCUCCUCCUCCAGAAAUAGAUGGCGCCAGUAAAAAAGAAUGAUCCAUAAAGGUCAGACAUUAAACAAUCUUCAGGUAUCUCAAGGCAUGAAGAGCAAAGCAGGGCAAUCCCUGCAGUUCUGCAAAAGCAGACAAAAUGAACAUGAAUCCAGGAGAAGACGGGGAUAAAGAAGGAACGGAACUCAGGCAAGUGAGGUGGAAGAGAGUUGCUUAUUUUUGUUGUGUGGCAGUGAUGGAAAACCCCAAAGUGGGUGAGAUAUGGCUCACUGUUUCCAUUUUAUGGUGACAGCAGCUACAUAUGGGUUGAUUGCUUUGACCCAGUGUCGGUGUGCAAGUGGGAGAAGAGGAACCAAAGGCAUCCAUGCAAACAUAGAACUGCCAGCUGUGGUCCUGUCAGAUGCUAUGAGCUUGGUUGCGUCAGGAAUAGAAAAAGGGCGUGCCAAGAGCAUUCAUUUGAAAAGUAAAAUUAAGAUCCUUCACCCUCAUAGACUUUUAAAGUGUCCCGUGCUAUUUUGUAUAAAGCUGUAGCAACCCAUGUUACUGGCAGUGCAGUCAAGCAUGGAGAUGCCACAUGCAAGCCUAGCACUGAGACUAUUGCAGACACGGGGAAUCCUCUCUCCUGUCUUGGAAAUCCAGCAAGGGUUCUACCAAGAUCCCUGUUGUAAUCUCUUUUUUUGUUGAUUUUUUGAGCUCUGAAGGCCAAAGUGACUGAAGAACAUCUGCCCCACCAGGGCAAGUUUACAUCAAUCAAAACACCUACAGAAAUCUGACCGGCACUACAAAUAAUUUAUAGUCUGAUGCAUGGUGUUGCAUGACAGAAAUAGGAGUGCCCUGGAUUCAACAGGCACCAGGGAAGACAGACGUAUUCUACACCAGCUGCCCACGAGCUAUGCAAUGCAGUUGUAAGAGGCUAAUGUAUUUCCAGAACAUCUAAGAAUGAUUUUAUUUUGUAGAAGGGGAUUUGUCAUUCCUCUGGUAGAUGCGCAGAGGUGAAAAACUGAGAAAUGGAUUCUUCUCAAUUCCCAUCCAGGUUUUCAGCUUGAUAGAAGAAGUGAAUUUCCUUAGAUGCACAAUUCACACCUAAUCCAUGCCUAGAAAUCACUUAGGACAUCAGUGGAGCUGUGAGUAUGGGUUUUGAUGACCUGUAGUUUAAUAUUUAAAUAAAUGUUUAAACAUUCAUGUCCUUCCUUCAGUUGAUGGACCCAUCUUGGGUCACACUGGUAGCAGCUAUAUAGCCUCUCUGACUGCUGCAUGAGCAAAAUAUUUUGCAUUUUGAUAGUACAUUUAAUUUUGAGAUCUCAAAGCCCUUGCAAGUGAACAAUAAUUAGUUAAGCCUCACAACACACUUCUGUGAGGGAUAUGGUGCUAUUAUGUCCAUUUGGUGGAUGUUAAAAACUAAUUAGGAUGAUGUUAACUCCUAAGGCCAAACAGAACGGGCACAGUUGCAGUAUGCUGUAGACACAGCCACACCAACAGAAACACUUAUUACAAGUAUUAUCAUCUCCAACCUUUUAUAAUCUCAAGCAUGACAUGAAAACAGAGCAACUGUUAGAAUUUCAGCCUGUGCCUGCUUGUCCUGUUGGUGUGGAUGGAAAGCUUUUGUGUAACAAACCAGCAGUCAGGUUGAUGGCACAGGCUCUGCUUUGUGCCGCUGACCUUCCUGAACAUCACAGCUUGCAGCAGGAGCAGCUGCUUUGCCAACAGCAUUUUCUUCUUGGGUAAUCUACUUUACCACAUUUCUAGCAUGCUUCAGAAACUUCCUAUAAAUGUUCUGGCCUGAGGCAAACAUCUAGAUGAUGUCAACUUUGUCCAACCAGGAGGAAGCCUUGGUAUUUCUGCAGCUUGCAGCUUGGACAUGUACCAAGGGGUCAAGCACCUUGUGAAGCUCAGUGUUCUCCAGCUGAACAUGCGUGACAGGAAACACCAAGGACCUCAGGAUCUUCCAUGGGGAAGGGCCAGAAGCAGUGAUGGCAAGUUUAUGGCAUGUACAAAAAAAUGCAGAAAACACCUAGCAGUCUAGUGUGUUAAAAACUAACUGAAUUGUCUGUUUCCUUGAAUAAAGUCAAGGAAGAAAACAUAGCUAAACUGGCCAGAGAGGUGAGGACGCAGCCCAGAAGAUGCCAAAAAUGCUGCUGAGAUCUCAAUGACUUCUGCUGGCGUUGCAAGGAAGGAAGUCUAAGGAUUAACAGAUGGUAGCAGAGAAACUAUUUGCUUCUUUCGUUAACACAAAAAAAACAAACCAAAACCAAAACAAAAACAAAAUUAUGGGUUUUGAGGCUUAAUGCAAUUAAUACCCUUUCAGUCUAAAUUAAUUGUGCAUUGCAGUAAUAAGAUCAGGAACUGCUACUUUCAGUCUGCUUUUUUCUCAGGCAAGAGACACAGAGACAACACAAGCCCAAGGCAAAAUCUUGUAUAUGACCUUUUACCUAUCGGUGUGUAUCACAGUGUAACAAGUUUGAAAGUGUCUAAUCAUUCACUCCUUUCCUUGUGCAUAUUUCAAUUAUUGCCAGAAUACCCUCCCUGGUAUGUCAGAUUCUUUGUUAGCUCCAGAAAAUGUGGCUUCUUGGUGAGAAAUCCUGAGAGGAUUAUGAAAUAAGGCUAUGAAGUCUCCCAGGCAAUUAAGCAUGUGUGGUCUCUUUACCCACCAAUUCUCUCCAGAUUUUCCUGACACUCUGAAUUUCCUUUUUUUAACAUCUUAAAAGCUACUAUGAAGCUUAUUAAAAAUACAAGGAAAGAUAACCUACAACAGAAUAUUCAGAAAAAAAGAAAAGAUCAUAUAGACUAAACCUUCAUUUAAACUGCUUUCACCAGGGUUGGCAUAUGGCAUUGUUGCCUUUCCACCACUUGCAUUAUUAGUGAUCCUUUCCUGUGGUGCAGACUCAGAAAGAGCAUUGUUUGACUCUUUUAAAAUUAAUCUGACUAAAGGAAAAAAAAAUCCAGAAGAUAUAUAACCGUCUUUUUCUUCUCUCCUUAAAUUAUUUAAUUUCUGAAAGAAAAACAAACAAACAAACAAACAAACAAACAAACAAACAAAAAAACAUGCAGCAAUGAGACAGGAUCUCAGCAAUCCAUUAAAUACUGUUAGUCUUUCAUCUUCCAAACCAGUCUUGAAUCAUAAUAUCUGAGAGGGCGAAGACAGAAACAACCAGGUCCUCUCACUCCCUGUCACAGGAUUAUUCCCCAGGCAGUAGCUUCUAGUACUUUUUUCAGUCUAACAUUGACUGUAUAACAUAAAAGGGCUUUCACCAGUUAGUUGAGAUAAUUACCAUAUCGCUACAAAAAUGUCUCUAGGAAUUUUUCUUGAUCUACAUCCUAAAUGAGGUUCAGUACUUCUGUUACAUCAUUUCUGAUUUUGUUUUCUCAGACAAUCCUCCCCAAUAGCCAUGAUUGUUUCUCAUCACAGCUGUUUAUUUGAUAAAAGGUCGAUAAAAAAAUCGACUGCUACCACAAUUCUUCCUUGUUUGCUUCAUUUAGAAAAUGAGUGGUAAUGCACUAAUUCUCCAAGUCCAGUAAUGAAAAAUUGGAGGAAAAUGUUGAAAUAGUAAAGGUGAACAUUACUGUACAAGCAAAACCUUAAAAAGUUGUCAUGUUCUAUUAACAGUUUGCUUGCUGGCAUCUGAGUGUGUUAGCCUUUAUUUUCACUAGUUUGAUAUGAAAAUUGCUUGAGAUGAUUGCAAGGUCAUUUCUUAUUAGGGCAAUGAAGUGCUAAAAUUUUAUUAUAUUAAUAUAACACGAUAUAAAAUGGCUAAUAUGAUAGACAGUUGUUAAUAUGUUAUGAUAGGUCAUGUAGAUAAGGUUUAUAUUGUUUUCAUAUACUUUGCUGAACUAUUUUUAUUCCUUUUUUGUAAUGAAAGGUGACAAGGGGACACAAAUGCAGAGAUUACUGAAUGCCCCUCUAUGCCCUUGAAUGCCAUUUCUUGUGAAUUUUAUGAAUGACAAUGGUAUUCCUUGGUCAAAAUCCCACCAGAUUCAGUGGGAGCAGUUCUGCAGUUGUUUAAUUCCAUUCAAUUUGUGACACGGAAGCAGUCCCUCAAUUAUCUGCACUAGGAAAAGAUGACUGUCAAAAAUAAAGGUACAACUUUUAUUUUUUCUUUCCAGUUUUUGAGCAACGGUCCAUCUAAUUCCUACCAGGGAAUAUGGAUAAGAGUUGCUAAGAAUUUCAGAUAAAUGGUCGCUGUCCAUGCCUGAGGCAAGUAAUGAAAGUUACAGUCUGUGUUUAUACUUCACAGUCAGAAGUUUCUUGGCAGCCUGCAGUUAAGUUCAUCCUCAUGAGCUUUGAGGUGACCAUCUGGGCCACUAAUCAGAAGGUUUAAGUCUUUCCUUUUUUUCUCUUAUCUGAAUCUUUUCGGAUAAUGUCAGUUUUGUAAUUUAAAGAAGAUUUUACUUGCUCUACACCUUUGAAGAACCAUGUCUCCAACAACCCAGCGCCCCAGCAGCUGUGACAUCCCACAGCUAUCAGUGACAUCUUCAGCUCCUUCCUGAAGGAAAAAGCUUCUGAUCCAGAUGAUGAAGUUAUCUCUCUAGGGCAAAUGUGAUCUGAGAAAGAGAAGGGGUAGCAUGAAGGGCAAUGGGCACAGACUGAAGCACAGGAGGUUCCAACUGAAUAUGAGGAGAAACUUCUUUACUUUGAGGUGCCCGAGCCCUGGAACAGGCUGCACAGAGAGGUUGUGGAGUCUCCUUCUCUGGAGACAUUCAAACCCACCUGGACACAUUCUUGUGUGAUCUGCUCUGGUGAACUGGACUGGAUGAUCUCCAGAGGUCCCUUCCAACCCCAACCAGCCUGUAAUUCUAUGAUUUCGAUACUCAGCACAGGUCAAAUCCUCACAGUGUUCCCAGGCUUUAAUCUUCAUCCUGCAAGAGGAAGCUUUCUUGAAGAAGAAACAUUCUUACAUGCAAAUUUUCAGUAAUGUUUUACAUUGCAUUCAGGCUUCUGGACACAAGAGGACAGGAGCUGAGUCCUUACAAACCAAGCAACAGUUUCAUGGUGUGGAUGGAGUGACACCUUCCCUCAUCACCUGAGUUUCUGAUGGCUCUAGAGACAACACAAGACCAUGGACUCAGGGUGACCAGGUUUACUCCAAAUCUUUGGAAACUCCUAAACAAGGAAAGAAGGAAUGUCCCAAAGUACUGAGUGUAAUAUUGUGCUAAGUUAAAAAAAUAUAACCUUUACUGUUGGGAGAUUUUUUGACUCCUUGGCAAGUCAUUAUUUUUAUCAUUUUUGAGGUCUGAACAUCAGGUUAUGCAAGGGGAAACCAUUUGCCAAAAAGAGUUCAACAAGUGCCAUAAUGUCCCUAAAGGUUAAUGUAACAAGCAUUUAUCUGCAAUUGUAUAUUAAAAAUUCUUUUUGUACUUGUUUUUUCCCCCAUUCAAAAACACUUUUGACAUGCAAAGCUACUUAAGAAACUGCUUCACUGAAUAACGUAAUUUGUAUAUUUGGUAAUGCAGUUUUAAAAGAUCACAUAAAGCAGAGCCCUUUCCUCUUAAUUCAUUCCAGUUUCUCUUCUUCAAGACCCUAUUUACCUCAAGUAUACUGGCAGAAGCAUGCAUGCAUACAAACACAAAACUUGAAAAAUUAAAGACAAAACAUCACAUUACAUAAUGCUUAAAAGAAUUGCAUUCUCAGUCUCCCUCCGUCUCUUUUUAUGCUUAUUUUAAAACCCUAGAAAACUAUUUUGAAAAUAUUAUAUUCAAAGUAGCAACACUAAGAUCUAACGUUUAUCUUAAAGUAACAUUUCAUACCCUCAAAAAAUCUUUUUAUUCCAAGAUUACGUUAUCUACAGUUUACAAAAUGAUUAUGAUGAUUGCUUGGAGGGCUUGACUUAGGAAAUCUAGCCUUGACACACAUUACUUUUGUGGAAAAAUGAAUUUAUCUCAAUUAGCUCUUAAUGUCAGCUGAAGAAGGGAACUAUUUAAAAUUAUUUGCCAGGGAAAGAGAUAAUAUUAGUUGAAACUGCAUACAUCAUAAAGACAUGAAGUGUCUAACCUGGCUUUUGGAUAGUGCAAGUAUUUUAACACGUCUUACUACCACCAGGAAUAUACUUCAGAUGGGCUUUUGAGAAAGCCUGUGAGUUCUUCUCACGCAUUCGGGUACUCUGACCUAAUAUUCUCAAAAUAUUUACAGAAAAAAAAGAUACGUUGUGCUGCUGAGUUUUGUGAGGCUUUUUGGAGAGCUUUACAGUAUCAAUACAACAAAUUAAGUGAAAUAACAGCUGUGCUAAUUACAGCCAGGUUUAAAAAAAUGAGACUUGUGUUUAGGUUUUCAAAGAUUCCAGUGGACUCAGCUAAUUACCGCAUGGUGCCAUGGUGAGAGCAGCCAGGUCAUGUUUUUAAGACCUUUGUUGCCCAGUUGUAAAGACAAUAAUGUGAGGAAAAUACUCAGUACAUGAAGUAAAGGCUGUGGGCAGCAGAUGCCAAGUCCAGCCCCUUCUCCUCCUAAGUGCCAGGCUGGUACCAGAAACAGGAGGGUGUAUUCACACAAUUAAACCCCAGGUGUCUGGAGAAUUUUUUUCUCUCUCUCUUUGGAUUAUUUUUCGAGCAAUUUUUAAAGUGGCUCCCUCUUGGAAUGAAGGAUUUUGCAACUAGUUCAAGUGAGAUGUUUUUAAUCUCAUUCGGCUCACUCCAUUCAAAUUAAGGAAGCUGAACACCUCUUUCCAAUGAGAGUGGGGCCCCUGAAGUGUUACUGCUGGCGAUGACAGGGUCGCCUCCUGUCUGGAGUCAUUCUGCCAAUUCCCAACCCCUGCAUCCUGAUCCUCAUCUUGCCUGCGGUGAGGUAAAGCUCGGUGAAAGAAGUGGAGCCAAGGGUACUAUUCCAAACAGAAGCUCUUUCAGAUCAGGACAAAAUUCCAGUGGUAUCACCGAAGUCAAGGAUGUGCAUGGGAAACAACUGAGAAUAACAUUUGGCCUAAAGAAAACAAAAACAUGAAUAAAACCAAACCAGACCAAACCAAACCAACCAAACAAACAAACAAAAAAAGCCACACAACAAACCAGAAAACAAAACCAAACACAAACAAACAACAACACUCAAACAAAAUUUCAAAAUCAGGGGGGCAACAACAUAACUUGACACAUUCUUCUUUAUCCUAUUGGUUUGAAGGUUGUUUUCUGAGUGCUCAAAAUUUACUGUGUAUUGCUUCCUAAAAGGAAGAUAAAAUUUGUCACCAGUGCAAUCUAUUACUUGAAAUUCCAUGCUCAGGAAAGACAGACAGACAUGCUCUACCUUCAUUUUGACUCAUCAGCUCUGGCAUACACAAAGCGCAAGCUUUAAAUCUAUACAAUCACAUGCUCCAUUAUCAGCCACACAGAUACUAGAGCAAGCUUGAAAUAAAACUACUUUGUUCCACCUGGGAGCUCAAUACUAUCCCUUAUAAAUCAGGAUUUGUUGCAUGGUUUCUUGCACACAUCCCACAGACUGGCCUUGCAAAAGGCGUUGACCAUCCAUACCACUCUCUUGUCUCUUUGUAUCUGAAGAGUUAUGUUGUUCCAGGGGGUGAAAGAGGGGGAAGAGAAGGAAAAAUUUAUGAGUUAUGAAUAUUGACAGAGGAGAUAUUCUUUGUUUAUUGAAGUCCUGUUUACAUAAAAGCUCUUUACAGGCUACCCCCUAAGUCUAGAGGUCCUAAACCAGUGUCAGUGAGCUGUCUGAGUGUUUUUUCCCACGUAUUGCGUCGCUAUUCCACCAACAAUAGGGACCCAUUAAUGUUUGGCCCUUCAAGUUAGUGCAGCCCAAGCCUCAGUGGCAGGACGUCUGCCCAAUAUGUAAAAUAAUGGAAUGAAUGGAUUCCUUGGAAACAAUGAUAACAAGACCUGGCUGAGCUAACUGUGACAGCAUGUGGUAAUUUUCCAGCCCACUGAGCCUGUACAGAGAGCAGGAGCACAAAGCUCAGACCAUGGGGCAGGUUGGUCUGAAUGGCUGCAAACAAGUGCAGAAUAUCUGAUGAUGUCAUACACACAGUCUGACAGAUGGGGCAGGGCUUUUGUUUGUUUUGUUUUGCUUUGUUUUAAACUUGAACUUAACUGUUUAUUUUUCCAACAUAUUUACACACUACGGGUGUAACACAGAAAGCCACAGCCGAUUUAAAAGUGUGUCUUAGAAAUGUUGCCAUGUGUUAGGUCUAAGAAACAACCUUAUUUCCUGGUGAAAAAUGGUAUUGCUUGUGCAGUGAAUGCUCUGGAAACGGCGGGAUAAUGUUGCUAUAGAAUGAUGCAUGAUCUCUGUAUUCACUGUCUUUUGAAUCUAGCUCCCCCCUGAAUCCCAAUACACACUUGAGUAACAUAAAGAAGUAUUGUUAUUGCCUCGGUCUAGUCAUUACAUCAGAGAAACAAACAACCAGAGAUAUCUAAACUGGCUACUAAUUUAGGUUUGUUGCCUGGGAAUAAAAGAGGUUAAAACAAGUUUGUUUGAGUAUUACAGAGUGGGUGUGCAUUUGCAAGACCGUGCAAUUCUAAAUAUGCUUUAGAUGCUGUAAAUGCACUUGGGUACAAACAUACGCCAACACAGUCGUGUGCCUCCAGGAGUAUGUUUGAAAGUUAACAUAAAUGUGGGCUGGGAAGACAUGAUGCAGCAUAAGUAGUUGUGAAUCACCAUUGAUACAGCUCCUUACAACUUUAUAGCUGAAUAAACAUUAAAGGACAAUUCCAAUUCCACGUUUGCAGUUGAAAUGGUAAUACAGAUAUAGAACACACUUCUGAAACUUUUUCCACCUCUAGGAGUGGAUUAGACUUUUUAUUUGCCACAAGCUAAAUCACAGGAUCACAGAAUCACAGAAUCACAGAAUCACAGAAUCGACUGGGUUAGAAAAGACCUCAGAAAUCAUCAAGUCCAACCCUUGGUCCAACUCUAGUCCGUUUACUAGAUCAUGGCACUAAGUGCCAUGUCCAAUCUCAGUUUAAAAACCUCCAGGGACGGCGAGUCCAGCACCUCCCUGGGCAGCCAUUCCAAUGUCUGACCACUCUCUCUGUAAAGAAUUUCUUUCUAAUAUCCAGCCUAAAUUUCCCCUGGCAGAGUUGAAGCCCAUGUCCCCUUGUCCUAUUGCUGACUGCCUGGGAGAAGAGACCAAUCCCCAGCUGGCUAUAACUUCCCUUCAGGUAGUUCUAGAGAGUGAUGAGGUCACCUCUAAGCCUCCUCUUCUCCAGACUAAACAACCCCAGCUCCCUCAGCCUCUCCCCAUAGGGCUUAUGUUCAAGUCCCUUCACCAGUCGUGUUGCUCUUCUCUGGACCCGCUCCAGCACUUCAAUGUCUUUCCUGAACUGAGGGGCCCAGAACUGAACACAAUACUCCAGGUGUGGCCUCACCAAUGCAGAGAACAGGGGAAGGAUCACUUCCCUUGUCCUGCUGACCACACUAGUUUUGAUACAGGACAGGAUACCGUUGGCCUUCUUGGCCACCUGGGCACACUGUUGGCUCAUGUUGAGCUUCCUGUCAAUUAGUACCCCCAGGUCCCUUUCUGUUUGACUGCUCUUCAGCCACUCUGCGCCCAAAAAAGAUGCUACAUGGAAAUUUUGAACAUAUUCUGAUUGGCUCAUUCUCUCUCACUUCUAGUGCUAUUUAUCUUUUGGGCUGAGAGCUCUCUGAGGCAGUGCCCGAAGAGCUGUGAAAUAAUGACUAUAGGAUGAAAGUAGAGCUAUAUAAGUAAAAAAAAAAAAGAAACACACAUUGCUUACAGUGAAAUUUUCUCUAAGCUUGAGACAGCCCAAGUUGAGAUAAACACAGGAUAUUUCAAAAUGACUGAGCAGAGCCUGAAUAAACAAACUAGAAGGCCAAAUUUUGAGGACUUCGCUUUCCUACUUACUUUAGCAGUUUUCAAGCAGAGAAACUGUUGAGAGGGAUAAUUUUUAUCACAGCUUGAGAUUUUCAUUAUCAAUGAUGUGUAUGAUGUCUUUGACUUUUCAGUAGUGAAGGAUUCCAUCCUUAUUAUAUUAAACACUAUACACAGAGUAGCAGGCAGUCUCUGACCCAAUGAGUUUUCAGUGUGAUAGGCAAAUUCAAUACAGCGACAGGAAUAAAGUCUCUCCAUACAUCUAUUAAAUCCCUCACAACCACAGUAUGAGAGGAAGUGCCAUGAUUUUUCAGAGCAGGGGAAACGUCUUUGACCAUCUCCUACAUAACUUGAAUUGCAAGUUGAUUUUAUUGUGAAUAAAUGACUUUCUGACUCCAUUUUAUUAUUCUAUUAGAAACAUAAGGAGCGUGUUUAUGACAUUGUGACAUUCAGUGGCCGAAGAAGAGACCAGAGUCAAAUGUGUGGGUUGUCUCUAACAUCCCCUCUUAGGCUGUAAAAAUAUUUCCAAAUCUCUGCAAGCUCUGCCUUUUUACUACUCCUUGCAUUACAGGAAGAAAGUUUUCAAGUUAUGAGAGGUUUACUGCCUGUUGUUUAAAAUCAAAACUUUUCCACCCAGGAGGGAUCUCUGAUGAUUAGAGAACCAGCAAAAUUCUGACCUACAGAAUUUUCUCUUCAGAUUUUAAAAAUUUCAUUAUGUGUACCUUGAAAGAGCUCAGCACACAUCAAAGGUUCAUCAGCCUCAGCUGUUUUGAUGCAGGUAUCAGGAUCAAAGAAUGCAUCCAUCCUCGCGACUCCCAGAAAGCCCUGAAACAGAACAGGACCAUGAUUCAGUGACAGGAAUUCAUCUUUUUCAGGUGAAAAAGCCCCUCAGCUAUUUGCAAUGGAAAAGAGCCAACAAAAUGGAACUAUGGGAAAAAAAACAAUUUAGACUUACAGGUUGGGUUACCGCUCUGGCAGUAUGACAGCAAAUUCAGCCUGCAGACCAUUCUGAUGAUGAGAAAAUAGUGCAUCUUUACUCACCGGAUGUGAAAUAUUUCAUCAUGAAAAUAUUUGGAGUGGGGCAGAAAAUGACUCAUCAAAUCACAGUAGAUAACUUUUUAAUUACAAAAAAAAAAAAAGUCUACAUUUCUGAACAAGUAAAUGCAUCAAGUGUUUCAUUUGUCAUUGUAUUAAUGUAUUGUCUGCAUCGUUAUUAUGGAUUAUGCUAUACUAAGUAAUUUUUAAAGUUAAUUAACUAAAAUAUAAUUAGUUAUAAUCAAAUACUUUAAAUUGUAUCUAUCUCAUUAUGACAAAGAAAAAAUAGUUGUUGCCUUUAAAAAAAGAAGCAUGAAGAAUAAAGGUAAAUUUCAACAGUUUUAGCGUGCUAUAGAUGCAUCUCUGCUUUAAAGGAGACACAGUGAACUUCACUUAGAUAUAAGAAGCCUUAGUCCUGGCUUGUCUAAAUUCAUUUAAUAUAAUGAGUCAACAAAUUUUCUCCAGAAGACAAAUACAAGUUCCUGCAAAUUCUCUGUUUCUUCUGCAUGUAUAUGUGCAUGCCACUAUAUAGUAAGUCUGCGGCAUUGUCCCGGUUUUAUAAACACACCUAUAUUCCUUCUGGACAGUAUUCCUUCUGGGCACUGUAUUAACAUUUUCCUGAGCGUUAUUCUGGAGUUUACAUGAUAUUACAUACUUAUACUGCAAAAUGCAGGUGUGGACUAAGGAAACAAUUCUGCCCUCCUGUAACCACAAUGCUGUGAUUCUGAUCCUGCCGGUCAAGGUGCUUAGACCUAGGUUUGGAUCCAACCCAAUGCAUGUGGAAUUUGGUUAUAAAGAAAAAUUUGAACUUGACAUCUCUUUUUGGAAGGGCAUACGGGGUAUUAAUUACUAGAAGACUCAUGCUUACAUAGCAGUACAGCUAUGUUUUUAAUGUAGUGUCAUCAAAAUCCAAGCUGAAAUUAUUACCUAAUUUUCAGUCUGUAAAGGAGAAGAAAAAGGAUAUAUGGCCUUGUUUAUGCACAAAAUUAGUUUUAAAUCAAUUAAACUGGUGAAAUACCCUAUGUGAACACAUUUAAAUUGGUUUACGUCUGGCUUGUAUUAAUAUAACUUCAUUCAGUUUUCACCAAAUCAAUGCAAAUGUGUAAUUAGCUUAAUGGCUCUUGCUCUUCCAGAACAAUACUCUUUCAUUCUCGACAACAGGGAGCUGUUUUCAUUUCCUGCAGAUUCCAAGGGAAGCAUCAAGCUUUUAUACAGUCGCUUUUACUAUUUCUCUAUUCUUUCCUCUAUGUAAGGGCUGGCUUUGUGUGUUGAGUAGCUGAAAGUGACAGGCCAUGAGGGCAGGUGCAAGGUAACCCAGAAAAAUAAGCUUUUCUGAGUUUUUAUGGGCUUGAAUAAAAGAAUUCUCAGAGACAAAUAGUGAGCAGGGUACUCACACCGGCUUCUGGGUGUUAAUUUCUCCAUCUAAUCUCCAACACUUGUCACUUGUCAAACAAUCCCGUGUUGCCCUUUCCCAGGCAUUCAUUCCCUUCAUUAACUGAUGUUGGGCUUUGCUAUUUUUUUCCUGCCAAUUAAAGCAAGCGUUUCUUGCCUCAGAAUAAAGUCACGACUCAUGGUUUUGUCUCAGCUGAGAAUAACCACUUGUCCUUUGAGAUCCUUCCAGCAGAGCUGUGAGAUAUUUGCUUUACUGUCUCGUAUUCAUUCCUCUGAACUACUGGUGUUUAGGAACAUGUUUAUGUGGGGACAAAUAACGAAAAGUGCUGUAGUCUUGAUGGAAAUUUCCAAGUUCCAUCAGUGCCCGCUGAAGAAAACAGCUGUGACCACAGCCACAGCGUCGACAGGUGCUCUGCACUUCAUGGGAUCCUAGAUUUAGACUUUUCCGGAGGUUUUUCUAAGAAAAAAAUGAUCUUUCACAUAAAAGUAAUAGAUUAGACACAAUAAUUCUCUGCUCUGAACUUCCCUGCACACUGGUCCUUAGAGAAAUACAAGAACAAUGUGGGAAAUCUGUUUCAGAACAUUUUUUAAUGUAAUGGAUUGAGGAGGGGCCAAAGCGAGCGAGUUCAUCCCCGGGCUUUGGGAAUAUCACAAACUUACAAAACCAACAAAGCAGUUUUCAGCUUUACCAAAUGCAGUCAUUAUGUGAAAUCGUUUCCAUAAAUCAUCUUACGUUUUUUUUCAAUGGAGAUUCAAUAUAAACCGACUUUUCCAACAAGGCUUAUCUGUGGUAUGAAACAUCGAAGAAAACCAUGAAAGCUGCUUUUGUUAAUUCACUCUGGAAAUAUAAAUAACUGGGCUAGUAGUCAGUUGCUUCUGACAUGGGAGAACUGCUGGAGAAAUUAAGAUGCCAAAGCAUAAUCUGAAAUAUUCAGUAAAUUAUAUACUGUGAGCGCUGAUGGAAACCACUCAUCCAUUGUUUGAAACGACUGGCAAAUGAGUUGGUAUUUUGUGGCCAACAUUGGCCUUGCCCAUCUUGGCUAUAAGUUUCUACAAAUUAAUGUAUUUUUUCUGAACUACCUAUAUUCUUGUAUCCAGGAAAGUUCAAAAACAAAAUCCUAUUUUCACUGUGGAAAAGACCACUAAAUUUCAAUUUGAAAUAAAUAUUGCUUGAGGAAAACAUUAAGUGAUGUGUGAUAGCAUUUUUCUUAAGUGAUUUGAUUAUCUAACCUUCUUUAAAAAUGUUUUUUCCUCAUAGUGUUCCUCUAAUACCCUUUUUCUUGGUGACCUACUAGAUAACAUGCCAUAGCAUACUUAAAAAAAGAGAGGAAUAAACAAAG